rnacentral:rRNA from 1 species
CUACGGGAGGCAGCAGUGAGGAAUAUUGCACAAUGGGGGGAACCCUGAUGCAGCAACGCCGCGUGGAGGAUGACGCAUUUCGGUGUGUAAACUCCUUUUAUAUGUCAAGAAAAUGACGGUAGCAUAUGAAUAAGCGCCGGCUAACUCCGUGCCAGCAACCGCGGUAAUACGGAGGGCGCAAGCGUUACUCGGAAUCACUGGGCGUAAAGGACGCGUAGGCGGGUUGAAAAGUCAGGUGUGAAAGCCUACAGCUUAACUGUAGAACUGCACUUGAAACUCUCAAUCUAGAGUAUGGGAGGGGCAGAUGGAAUUAGUGGUGUAGGGGUAAAAUCCGUAGAUAUCACUAGGAAUACCUAAAGCGAAGGCGAUCUGCUGGAACAUUACUGACGCUAAGGCGUGAAAGCGUGGGGAGCAAACAGGAUUAGAUACCCUUGUAGUC